AUUGAACGCUGGCGGCAGGCCUAACACAUGCAAGUCGAACGAGUGGCGGACGUGUGAGUAAUGUCUGGGAAACUGCCUGAUGGAGGGGGUUAACUACUGGAAACGGUAGCUAAUACCGCAUACCAUCAGAUGUGCCCCGAUGGGAGUAGCUAGUUGGUGGGGUAACGGCUCACCAAGGCCACGAUCCCUAGCUGGUCUGAGAGGAUGACCAGCCACACUGGAACUGAGACACGGUCCAGACUCCUACGGGAGGCAGCAGGGGGGAAGAUUGCAAAAUGGGAGAAAGCCUGAUGGAGCCAUGCCGCGUGUAUGAAGAAGGCCUUAGGGUUGUAAAGUACUUUCAGCGGGGAGGCGUUACCCGCAGAAGAAGCACCGGCUAACUCCGUGCCAGCAGCCGCGGUAAUAC
rnacentral:rRNA from 1 species